rnacentral:rRNA from 1 species
AGGACGAACGCUGGCGGCGUGCUUAACACAUGCAAGUCGAGCGGAAAGGCCCUUCGGGGUACUCGAGCGGCGAACGGGUGAGUAACACGUGAGUAAUCUGCCCCUAGCUCUGGGAUAGCUCCGGGAAACCGGGAUUAAUACCGGAUACGACCACCUUAGACAUCUUUUGUGGUGGAAAGAAUUUCGGCUAGGGAUGAGCUCGCGGCCUAUCAGCUUGUUGGUGGGGUAACGGCCUACCAAGGCGACGACGGGUAGCCGGCCUGAGAGGGCGACCGGCCACACUGGGACUGAGACACGGCCCAGACUCCUACGGGAGGCAGCAGUGGGGAAUAUUGCGCAAUGGGCGAAAGCCUGACGCAGCGACGCCGCGUGGGGAUGAAGGCCUUCGGGUUGUAAACCCCUUUCAGCAGGGACGAAGCGAAAGUGACGGUACCUGCAGAAGAAGCGCCGCUAACUACGCGCCAGCAGCCGC